rnacentral:rRNA from 1 species
AUGGGCUGCCGGCAGACCGCGCUGUUGCUGGCGGCAGCGCUGGCCGCGUGCGCGGCGACGACGGUGAUGGCUGAGCGCAGGGUCUACAUCGAUUGGAUGCCCCGCCAUAACUUCUCCGGCUGGGCCAAGCUCAAUGGGCCCUUCUACAAGGGCGACUACCUCGCGUUCUAUCACCCGGACAAGAAGUUGGACGUGGUGGAGGUGGACAAACGCGGGUUCGACGUGUGCGACACUGGAAACCCUAUCCACCGCUACCCCGGCGGCGGUACUCGCCGCGGCACUACUUUCGUCCUGCUCAGCGAGGCCAAGUUCUACUACUUCACCUGCAGCGUCCGCUAUUUCUGCCCUGCCGGGAUGCGCCUCGACAUCCCGGUCCAGGAAAGGCGGCGCGACGACACGCCCGGCACCGCCAUGGUGGAGAGCAGCGCCACCUCACCGGCGCCUGGACCCCGAGGGAACUCGGAGGGCGAGAGAGACGUGCAGGGACGAGGACGAAGCGACGGUGGAGUAGAAGGAACAAAAUGGCCAGACAUGGAGUCCUCCAGGCCCGGCCCGUAA